rnacentral:misc_RNA from 1 species
CCAUUAUUUUGGUUUGAAGAGCAUUCCCCUACAGAAUGAAAAACAAUUUCAUGACUUAAGCUGCUAUGUUCCUUUUUAUCAGAAACAUGAUCCAAUUUAUCCAUCUCUGAAGCAUCGGUUUCAGGUAAUCCAGAUGUUGUGCUUUUGGCAUUCUCUUUUUGAGCUUUUGCUCGGAGGCGUGUGCCACAGCCACCACACUUAUAGACAAGAACACCUGGCGACUCAGGAAGGAUAUUCAGACAUCUAGGACAUCUAACCAAUCGAAU